UACGUAGGGUGCGAGCGUUAAUCGGAAUUACUGGGCGUAAAGCGUGCGCAGGCGGUUAUAUAAGACAGGUGUGAAAUCCCCGGGCUCAACCUGGGAAUUGCAUCUGUGACUGUAUAGCUAGAGUACGGUAGAGGGGGAUGGAAUUCCGCGUGUAGCAGUGAAAUGCGUAGAUAUGCGGAGGAACACCGAUGGCGAAGGCAAUCCCCUGGACCUGUACUGACGCUCAUGCACGAAAGCGUGGGGAGCAAACAGG
rnacentral:rRNA from 1 species